rnacentral:rRNA from 1 species
CCUACGGGUGGCUGCAGUAGGGAAUCUUCCGCAAUGGACGAAAGUCUGACGGAGCAACGCCGCGUGAGUGAUGAAGGUUUUCGGAUCGUAAAACUCUGUUGUUAGGGAAGAACAAGUACGAGAGUAACUGCUCGUACCUUGACGGUACCUAACCAGAAAGCCACGGCUAACUACGUGCCAGCAGCCGCGGUAAUACGUAGGUGGCAAGCGUUGUCCGGAAUUAUUGGGCGUAAAGCGCGCGCAGGCGGUCCUUUAAGUCUGAUGUGAAAGCCCACGGCUCAACCGUGGAGGGUCAUUGGAAACUGGGGGACUUGAGUGCAGGAGAGAAGAGUGGAAUUCCACGUGUAGCGGUGAAAUGCGUAGAGAUGUGGAGGAACACCAGUGGCGAAGGCGACUCUUUGGCCUGUAACUGACGCUGAGGCGCGAAAGCGUGGGGAGCAAACAGGAUUAGAUACCCCUGUAGUC